rnacentral:rRNA from 1 species
GGGGAAUUAACCCUCCAUAAUAUCGAGGGUUGGCAUCAAUCUUCGAUUAAAACUGAGGUGGUACAGGAUGAGCAUGCGUCUGAUUAGCUAGUUGGUAGUGUAACGGACUACCAAGGCGAUGAUCAGUAGGGGAACUGAGAGGUUGAUCCCCCACACUGGCACUGAGAUACGGGCCAGACUCCUACGGGAGGCAGCAGUAGGGAAUAUUGGACAAUGGGUGAGAGCCUGAUCCAGCCAUGCCGCGUGCAGGAAGAAGGCCUUCUGGGUUGUAAACUGCUUUUAUCUGGGUAUAAAAAGGGAGUGCGCUCCCAACUGAAGGUACCAGAUGAAUAAGCCACGGCUAACUACGUGCCAGCAGCCGCGGUAAUACGUAGGUGGCAAGCGUUGUCCGGAUUUAUUGGGUUUAAGGGUGCGUAGGCGGUUUAUUAAGUCAGUGGUGAAUACUUCAGCUUAACUGGAGAGGUGCCAUUGAUGCUGAUGAACUUGAGUACAGUCGAAGUAGGCGGAAUGGACGGUGUAGCGGUGAAAUGCAUAGAUAUCGUCCAGAACACCGAUAGUGAAGACAGCUUACUAGGCUGUAACUGACGCUGAGGCACGAAAGUGUGGGGAUCAAACAGGAUUAGAUACCCUGGUAGUCCACACUGUAAACGUUGAUAACUCGCUGUUGGCGAUACACAGCCAGCGGCCAAGCGCAAGCGAUAAGUUAUCCACCUGGGGAGUACGCCGGCAACGGUGAAACUCAAAGGAAUUGACGGGGGUCCGCACAAGCGGGGGGAGCAUGUGGUUUAAUUCGAUGAUACCCGAGGAACCUUACCUGGGCUAGAAUG